rnacentral:rRNA from 1 species
GCAGUCGAGCGGCAGCGGGAAGUAGCUUGCUACUUUGCCGGCGAGCGGCGGACGGGUGAGUAAUGUCUGGGAAACUGCCUGAUGGAGGGGGAUAACUACUGGAAACGGUAGCUAAUACCGCAUGACCUCGUAAGAGCAAAGUGGGGGACCUUCGGGCCUCACGCCAUCGGAUGUGCCCAGAUGGGAUUAGCUAGUAGGUGAGGUAAUGGCUCACCUAGGCGACGAUCCCUAGCUGGUCUGAGAGGAUGACCAGCCACACUGGAACUGAGACACGGUCCAGACUCCUACGGGAGGCAGCAGUGGGGAAUAUUGCACAAUGGGCGCAAGCCUGAUGCAGCCAUGCCGCGUGUGUGAAGAAGGCCUUAGGGUUGUAAAGCACUUUCAGCGAGGAGGAAGGGUUCAGUGUUAAUAGCACUGUGCAUUGACGUUACUCGCAGAAGAAGCACCGGCUAACUCCGUGCCAGCAGCCGCGGUAAUACGGAGGGUGCAAGCGUUAAUCGGAAUUACUGGGCGUAAAGCGCACGCAGGCGGUUUGUUAAGUCAGAUGUGAAAUCCCCGAGCUUAACUUGGGAACUGCAUUUGAAACUGGCAAGCUAGAGUCUUGUAGAGGGGGGUAGAAUUCCAGGUGUAGCGGUGAAAUGCGUANAGAUCUGGAGGAAUACCGGUGGCG